rnacentral:rRNA from 1 species
ACGAACGCUGGCGGCGUGCCUAAUACAUUCCAGUCGAGCGAAGUUUUUCUGGUGCUUGCACUAGAAAAACUUAGCGGCGAACGGGUGAGUAACACGUAAAGAACCUGCCUCAUAGACUGGGACAACUAUUGGAAACGAUAGCUAAUACCGGAUAACAGCAUUAACUGCAUGGUUGAUGUUUAAAAGUUGGUUUUGCUAACACUAUGAGAUGGCUUUGCGGUGCAUUAGCUAGUUGGUGGGGUAAAGGCCUACCAAGGCGACGAUGCAUAGCCGACCUGAGAGGGUGAUCGGCCACCCUGGGACUGAGACACGGCCCAGACUCCUACGGGAGGCAGCAGUAGGGAAUCUUCCGCAAAGGGCGAAAGCCUGACGGAGCAACGCCGCGUGAGUGAAGAAGGAUUUCGGUUCGUAAAGCUCUGUUGUUAGGGAAGAAUGAUUGUGUAGUAACUAUACACAGUAGAGACGGUACCUAACCAGAAAGCCACGGCUAACUACGUG